rnacentral:rRNA from 1 species
AUUGAACGCUGGCGGCAGGCCUAACACAUGCAAGUCGAACGAGUGGCGGACGGGUGAGUAAUGUCUGGGAAACUGCCUGAUGGAGGGGGGUAACUACUGGAAACGGUCUCUAAUACCGCAUACCAUCGGAUGUGCCCAGCUGGGAUUAGCUGGUAGGUGGGGAAAAGGCUCACCUAGGGGGCGAUCCCUAGCUGGUCUGAGAGGAUGACCAGCACAACGGGAACGGGGACACGGCCAAGACUCCUACGGGAGGCAGCAGUGGGGAAUAUUGCACAAUGGGGGCAGGCCUGAUGCGGCCAGGCCGGGUGGAGGAAGAAGGCCUUCGGGUUGUAAAGUACUUUCAGCGGGGAGGCGGUACCCGCAUAAGAAGCACCGGCUAACUCCGUGCCAGCAGCCGCGGUAAUUC